UGUCGACACUUGUUACUUUUCAGAUCAGAGUUACAGAUCCCACGCGACGUCGAAGAGCGUGAGAACACUUCUCAAAACCCAAUUUCAGCUGCCGCUGUAAUGAGAAGCCCUAAGAAACACUGUAAGCAAGAUUCUAAGACUAACAAAAACAAAAACACAUCCAUUUCUGGCUUAGCUCUUCAAAGCUAUGGGAAGCCGAGGAGUUAUAGGAGAUAAGUGGGUCUAUGAGGAUUCUAUGGGUGUGGCAAUAGGAAGUGCAAUUGGUAUGCAUUCUUGAUCAUUAACCUGGCGCAUAUUGCAUUACAUAGGGUACUCUGAGAUCAUAAACUUCAUCUUCUUUCAUGGCUAAUGCCUGUGGUUUCACUAUGAGUUUGUGUAGGCCUGUAUGGUUGCUGUAGAAGACAACAGCAGAACAGGGACCGAAUGAUGGCCGAAAGUUUGAAGGCCAUGGAAUCCGAAGGUGGUGGUGAGUGAGCUUUAAAUGUUGGCAUAAAUUACCUUUAAACAACUUGUUAAAGAGCAUUUUCGAUUAGAGGGAUAUUUCAUAUGUGGUAAUAAACUUAUUGGAGAGACGAAAUGUUAGAAUGUGAGAGAUGAUUUAUCA